GGAGAAUCCAUAGAAGAACAAGAGUGAAAACAUUCUUGGAAAGCAAGAUUUAUAAGGCAUGUUUCAAAAGAGUUGUAUUUGUUUAGUCAAGAGCAGACUGGGGAAAAUAAUAUGACAUCUGAAGAUCAUUGUGAAGAAGAUGGUCACCAAUUGUCUUUUGUAUCCAGUUGUGGAAGAACAAUAAAAAAAUUAUCUUAGUUUGCAGUCAAAAAUAACAGGCUACAUAUUUGGAAAAUCCUUCUAAGUACAAGGACAGUUAAAAACUGGAACCAACCUAUCUGUCAUUGAUGCAGCAUCUUCCUCACUGGCAAUUUAGAAUGGAUUAGACAAAAAGUUUCUGUCAUCAAAAUGCUCUUACACUUAUCUUCUUUUAUAACUGUUGGCUCCACACAAUAAAUAAUCUGGAAUAUUAAGAAGUAAUUUGAAAAAUAAGUUGGAAUGUGGAGAUGAAAUCGGAUAGUCCAAACGCAUGAUAAAUCAUCAUAAAUGCAGUUCAUCAAUAAGGAUAAAGCAUGUUACCUGUUCAUACAAGCAGUGCUAUUGUUCUCCUUACACUGCUUGGUUCUCUGGUCAGGAAGCUGGUCAAUACCCUUUUUUCUUGGCUUCUAAUUCUAUCUAGCACACACUCCUCAGUGGUUGUGUAGAUGGAUUUCAUUGCUGGUGUGCAUGUGUCCCUAGAGUGCAAGGACAAAUUAUUUGGAUAAGCAGAGUCCAUUAAAUGGUAUCAGCAGACUACUACUUGAAGCACCUUCAUGUCCACUGUCCUCAGGGCAUUAAAUAGCCAUGUCUACUUUACCUGUAGUGCUGACCUAUUGUGAUAGUUGUUUUUAUGACUUGCAUCAAGUGUGAAGCAUUCAAAGCCAUGUGUCAAAGUCUGGACAAUGGAGUGUCCAAGGCCAUCAAUAUGACAGCUUCUACGCCGACGUUUUCCCUGUGCCAAAGUCACUUAAGGAGCAUGUUUCCCGGCGAGAGACCGGCCCCCGCGUCCCGGCUCGCUCUCGGAGGGGUGUCCCGGACUCGAAUCAGGGGUGUAACUUCACAGACACCCCACGCUUACAAAUACGCUUCGUCUCUCCCACGAGAAAUCGCUUCUCGGGCGUACAGUAAGCGCUUAAAACGUCAGAAAACGUCAUAAACGCAAACUAAUCGGCAUCGUGUCAACCACACCGGUGCUGGGGCGUGUGAGUUGGAU